UGCCCCAGUAACGGCGAGUGAAGCGGCAACAGCUCAAAUUUGAAAUCUGGCCCCCCGGCCCGAGUUGUAAUUUGCAGAGGAUGCUUUUGGUGAGGCACCUACCGAGUCCCCUGGAAUGGGGCGCCAUAGAGGGUGAGAGCCCCGUAUAGUAGGACGCCGAACCUCUGUAAAGCUCCUUCGACGAGUCGAGUAGUUUGGGAAUGCUGCUCUAAAUGGGAGGUAAAUUUCUUCUAAAGCUAAAUACCGGCCAGAGACCGAUAGCGCACAAGUAGAGUGAUCGAAAGAUGAAAAGCACUUUGAAAAGAGGGUUAAAAAGUACGUGAAAUUGUUGAAAGGGAAGCGCUUGUGACCAGACUUGCGCCGGGCGGAUCAUCCAGCGUUCUCGCUGGUGCACUCCGCCCGGUUCAGGCCAGCAUCGGUUUUCGCCGGGGGACAAAGGCUUCGGGAACGUGGCUCCUUUCGGGGAGUGUUAUAGCCCGUUGCGUAAUACCCCGGCGGGGACCGACGACCGCGCUUCGGCAAGGAUGCUGGCGUAAUGGUCAUCAGCGACCCGUCUUGAAACACGGACCGAGGAGUCAAGCAUUAGUGCGAGUGUUUGGGUGUAAAACCCGCACGCGUAAUGAAAGUGAACGUAGGUGAGAGCUUCGGCGCAUCAUCGACCGAUCCUGAUGUUUUCGGAAGGAUUUGAGUAGGAGCAUUAACGCUUGGACCCGAAAGAUGGUGAACUAUACUUGAAUAGGGUGAAGCCA
rnacentral:rRNA from 1 species